GAUGAACGCUAGCGGCAGGCCUAACACAUGCAAGUCGAGGGAGAAGCCCUUUCGGGGGCCGAAACCGGCGCACGGGUGCGUAACGCGUAUGCAACCUACCUUUCACCGGGGGAUAGCCCGAAGAAAUUUGGAUUAAUACCCCAUAAUAUUAUUGGAUGGCAUCAUUUGAUAAUUAAAACUGCGGUGGUGAAAGAUGGGCAUGCGUCCUAUUAGCUAGUGGGAGUGGUAACGGCACCCCAAGGAUACGAUAGGUAGGGGUCCUGAGGGGGAGAUCCCCCACACUGGUACUGAGACAGGGACCAGACUGCUACGGGAGGGAGCAGUGAGGAAUACAGGUGAAUGGUCGGAAGACUGAACCAGCCAUGCCGGGUGCAGGAAGAAUGCGUUAUGGAUUGUAAACUGCUGUUAGAUGGCAAGAAUAAGGCGUACGUGUACGUUGAUGACGGUACCAGAUGAAUAAGCACCGGCUAACUCCGUG
rnacentral:rRNA from 1 species